GUUUAACCAAGAUAGAUGUUAAAACUCAAAAAAAAGUCAUUGGAAGGGUCUUCAUAAUUACCAAGAACCAUUUUCCUAAAAACAUUGAAAAUAUUCUGUAAUUCUAAAUAAACUGUUUAUAUUCUUAGUUUAUGUGAAGUAAGAUUCAUGUUUUUUAAUUAUACUGUCUAUGUAUUUGCUGCUGAUCUAAAAUGUAUGUAAACAAAUAUCACUUUAGGCUGAAAGAGAUGAGGAAGAAUUUGCAUUGAUUCUGAUGGGAAAAAAAUUUUUUUUAAAUAGGGCGCCAUCGUUGUAUUGGGGAAAAUUUCGCUUAUGUUCAAAUCAAGACGAUUUGGUCCACUAUGCUUCGUCUAUAUGAAUUUGAUCUCAUUAAUGGAUAUUUUCCUACUGUGAAUUAUACAACUAUGAUUCAUACGCCUGAAAACCCAGUUAUUCGUUACAAACGAAGAUCACACUGAAAAAGGCUGCAAGGAACUAAUGUGAUAUAUUAUUGUAAGCUUCGAAAACAUUUGAAGAAAAUGAAGUUUAUGAAACAGCUCUCAUAGUAUACUGUUUGUAAUUCUAAAAGCCAGUUUAAUUUAUGAUUUUAAUAUUUUAUUAACUGAAUGGUUCUAUCAAAUCUAAUGGCAUUUGAAACAUUUUAUAAUAGUUUUGAUACUUACUACAUGUGCUUUGAGGAAGCCAAAGUUUAUUAGUAAAAAUAAUUGUUUUGGGGGAUCUAUGUAAUUAUCAGACUCCAAAAUAGUACAAUUUCCAGCUACUAAUUUUAAAAGCUAUAGACAAAUAGGUCAGGAAUUUCAAAUCUGGUACUAGUUAUACAAGAUACAGAAAGCCCAAGGAAAUAUUUGGAAGGUCUUAGUUAUUCAUUUAUCUGGGAAGUUUUUGUGUGUAAGGAUGGAAAAGUAGGGAAUAAACUCACAGUUAUAGCCUGGGAUAAAAGAGAAUAUUAUUAAUUAGUUUUGGUAUAAUGAUAUUGAGCAGUGAUAGAGAUAAGUUAUAGAAAAAUACAUCCUUUUUAAGUUUGAACUGGAAGAACUGUUGGAAGUUGAGAGAGAUGUAGGACCAUGCUUUGGUAAUCAUAUUUCUGAAAAAUAAUAAAUACUAAAAAAGACUACCCAUGUGUCUUCAUAUACUAAAUAUUACAUACGUCUCCAUAUGAUAAAUAGGUGUCCUGUUCCACAAGGUCAUAUCUAUGUGCAAGUCCAAAAUCAAGUCUGUAGGAGAUAUAAUUUUCGUUUUCUUCUUUGGCUCAGUGUUAUUCCCUGCCUCCUCCAAAAUCCAUUUAUGGAUGUUUCUAUUACUAGUUCCAUUCAUUCAAGUAAAUAAACUUUUUAAAAGUACAGGAUAUGAGAUCAGGGAACUGUGGCUUUAAGAUAAGGUAAUAUGAAGUAGGUUCUUGGUAUUAUUGGUCAUAUUCUAUGAAGCCCUAUGUUCAGUAAUCAACCUAACUCAAAUUAUAACUGGGGGCCUAAUUAUAAUGAGAUACCUGUAAUUUGAUCACAUAAUCUGCUUGUACUAGAUGAAGCCAAAAUAUUUUCCCUUAUGUAUAUUACAGUUCUGUUUAAGAGGCUGGAAGACUUGUGUUAAAUUCUAAUUGUUUAGAACAAAUCUCUGCUGUUAAAAAGUUUUUCACAUUAAAAUUCUCCUUGAGAAAAAUACAGUCUG
rnacentral:lncRNA from 1 species